UACGGGGGGGUGCGAGCGUUGUCCGGAAUCACUGGGCGUAAAGGGCGCGUAGGUGGUCUGAUAAGGGUGUGGUGAAAGCCCGGGGCUCAACCCCGGGUCGGCCGUGCCGACUGUUAGACUAGAGUGCUGUAGGGGCAGGCGGAAUUCCGGGUGUAGCGGUGGAAAUGCGUAGAGAUCCGGAGGAAGACCGGUGGCGAAGGCGGCCUGCUGGGCAGUUACUGACACUGAGGCGCGACACGUGGGGGAGCAAACAGGG
rnacentral:rRNA from 1 species